rnacentral:rRNA from 1 species
AUACGUAGGGAGCGAGCGUUGUCCGGAAUUACUGGGCGUAAAGGGCGCGUAGGCGGGCGUGCAAGUCAGAUGUGAAAUACAUGGGCUCAACCCAUGGGGUGCAUUUGAAACUGCAUUACUUGAGAGAAGUAGAGGAAAGCGGAAUUCCUGGUGUAGCGGUGAAAUGCGUAGAUAUCAGGAGGAACACCGGUGGCGAAGGCGGCUUACUGGGCUUUUACUGACGCUGAGGCUCGAAAGCGUGGGGAGCAAACAGGAUUAGAUACCCUGGUAGUCCACGCUGUAAACGAUGAUUACUAGGUGUGGGGGGACUGACCCCUUCCGUGCCGCAGUUAACACAAUAAGUAAUCCACCUGGGGAGUACGGCCGCAAGGUUGAAACUCAAAUGAAUUGACGGGG